GGGUGGUUUGAGUGCAGUGGUAUUUAUAACUGACUGAUGACAACCAGUCACAGAUUCCUUUAUUCUCUACUCCUGCUCCUUCACUUGACUAGACUUAA
rnacentral:Y_RNA from 1 species